rnacentral:rRNA from 1 species
GACGAACGCUGGCGGCGUGCUUAACACAUGCAAGUCGAACGGAAAGGCCCUGCUUUUGUGGGGUGCUCGAGUGGCGAACGGGUGAGUAACACGUGAGUAACCUGCCCUUGACUUUGGGAUAACUUCAGGAAACUGGGGCUAAUACCGGAUAGGAGCUCCUGCUGCAUGGUGGGGGUUGGAAAGUUUCGGCGGUUGGGGAUGGACUCGCGGCUUAUCAGCUUGUUGGUGGGGUAGUGGCUUACCAAGGCUUUGACGGGUAGCCGGCCUGAGAGGGUGACCGGCCACAUUGGGACUGAGAUACGGCCCAGACUCCUACGGGAGGCAGCAGUGGAGAAUAUUGCACAAUGGGCGGGAGCCUGAGGCAGCAACGCCGCGUUCGGGAUGACGGCCUUCGUGUUAUAAACCGCUUUCGCCUGUGACGAAGCGUGAGUGACGGUAAUGAGUAAAGAAGCACCGGCUAACUACGUG